rnacentral:rRNA from 1 species
CAAGUCGAGCGAACUGAUUAGAAGCUUGCUUCUAUGAAGUUAGCGGCGGACGGGUGAGUAACACGUGGGCAACCUGCCUGUAAGACUGGGAUAACUUCGGGAAACCGAAGCUAAUACCGGAUAGGAUCUUCUCCUUCAUGGGAGAUGAUUGAAAGAUGGUUUCGGCUAUCACUUACAGAUGGGCCCGCGGUGCAUUAGCUAGUUGGUGAGGUAACGGCUCACCAAGGCAACGAUGCAUAGCCGACCUGAGAGGGUGAUCGGCCACACUGGGACUGAGACACGGCCCAGACUCCUACGGGAGGCAGCAGUAGGGAAUCUUCCGCAAUGGACGAAAGUCUGACGGAGCAACGCCGCGUGAGUGAUGAAGGCUUUCGGGUCGUAAAACUCUGUUGUUAGGGAAGAACAAGUGCGAGAGUAACUGCUCGUACCUUGACGGUACCUAACCAGAAAGCCACGGCUAACUACGUGCCAGCAGCCGCGGUAAUACGUAGGUGGCAAGCGUUAUCCGGAAUUAUUGGGCGUAAAGCGCGCGCAGGCGG